rnacentral:rRNA from 1 species
ACCCGAAGACGGUGCGCUAACCUCGCAAGAGGAGGCAGCCGGCCACGGUAGGGUCAGCGACUGGGGUGAAGUCGUAACAAGGUAGCCGUAGGUGAACCUGCAGAAGGAUCA